rnacentral:rRNA from 1 species
CACCACAACAGGUGGAGCCUGCGGUUUAAUCGGACUCAACGCCGGGAAACUCACCAGAUAAGACAGCUGAAUGAUAGUCGGGCUGAAGACUCUACUUGACUAGCUGAGAGGAGGUGCAUGGCCGUCGUCAGUUCGUACUGUGAAGCAUCCUGUUAAGUCAGGCAACGAGCGAGACCCACGCCAACAGUUGCCAGCUCGUCCUCCGGGAUGGUGGGGACACUGUUGGGACCGCCUCUGCUAAAGAGGAGGAAGGAAUGGGCAACGGUAGGUCAGCAUGCCCCGAAUUAUCUGGGCUACACGCGGGCUACAAUGGGUGGGACAAUGGGUAUCGACACCGAAAGGUGAAGGCAAUUUCCUAAACCCAUCCGUAGUUCGGAUUGUGGGCUGCAACUCGCCCACAUGAAGCUGGAAUCUGUAGUAAUCGUGUCUCAAAAUGGCACGGUGAAUAUGUCCCUGCUCCUU